rnacentral:lncRNA from 1 species
UGUGAAGUUAAUUAAAACGCUCGUGGUUUUCAUGUAAAGAAUUGGAAACGGUUUUUUACCCCUCGUGGUAGCGUGUUUUAAAGAAAAAGGAUUUCCGUGUGAGAAACAGUUUUGAAAAGGUUUUAUCGGUUUUCAUGGACUUAGUAUUUCAAAACCAGUUCCGGAUAGGAAACGUUUUAAAUAAGAGUGUGGUUUUAUGUUUAAACGCUGAAUGGUAAACCUGUGAUGAAUGGUGUAUGAAUACGCAUGUUUGCAUAUUCAGUUGUGAUUGAAUCAUGUUUCGUAUCUUGUACUUGUGCGAAGCCGUGCAAAUACAUGGAAGACUCUGUA